rnacentral:rRNA from 2 species
AACGUAGGAGACAAACGUUAUCCGGAGUUACUGGGCGUAAAGGGCGUGUAGGUGGUUUUGUAAGUCUGGCGUGAAAUAUCUCGGCUUAACCGAGGCAGGUCGUCGGAUACUGCAAGACUGGAGGACGGUAGAGGCGUGUGGAAUUCCGGGUGUAGUGGUGAAAUGCGUAGAGAUCCGGAGGAACACCAGUGGCGAAGGCGACACGCUGGGCCGUACCUGACACUGAACCGCGACAGCAUGGGGAGCAAACAGG